CCUACGGGGAGCAGCAGGGAGGAAUAUUGGUCAAUGGACGCAAGUCUGAACCAGCCAUGCCGCGUGCAGGAAGACGGCUCUAUGAGUUGUAAACUGCUUUUGUACGAGGGUAAACGCAGAUACGCGUAUCUGUCUGAAAGUAUCGUACGAAUAAGGAUCGGCUAACUCCGUGCCAGCAGCCGCGGUAAGACGGAGGAUUCAAGCGUUAUCCGGAUUUAUUGGGUUUAAAGGGUGCGUAGGCGGUCGGAUAAGUUAGAGGUGAAAUCCCGAGGCUCAACUUCGGCAUUGCCUCUGAUACUGUUCGGCGAGAGAGUAGUUGCGGUAGGCGGAAUGUAUGGUGGAGCGGUGAAAUGCUUAGAGAUCAUACAGAACACCGAUUACGAAGGCAGCUUACCAAGCUACUUCUGACGUUGAGGCACGAAAGCGUGGGGAGCAAACAGGAUUAGAUACCCCAGUAGUC
rnacentral:rRNA from 1 species